GACGAACGCUGGCGGCGUGCCUAAUACAUGCAAGUAGAACGCUGAAGGAGGAGCUUGCUUCUCCGGAUGAGUUGCGAACGGGUGAGUAACGCGUAGGUAACCUGCCUGGUAGCGGGGGAUAACUAUUGGAAACGAUAGCUAAUACCGCAUAAUAGCAGUUAUUGCAUGAUAACUGUUUGAAAGGUGCAAUUGCAUCACUACCAGAUGGACCUGCGUUGUAUUAGCUAGUUGGUGGGGUAACGGCUCACCAAGGCAACGAUACAUAGCCGACCUGAGAGGGUGAUCGGCCACACUGGGACUGAGACACGGCCCAGACUCCUACGGGAGGCAGCAGUAGGGAAUCUUCGGCAAUGGACGGAAGACUGACCGAGCAACGCCGCGUGAGUGAAGAAGGUUUUCGGAUCGUAAAGCUCUGUUGUAAGAG
rnacentral:rRNA from 1 species